rnacentral:rRNA from 1 species
UAUAGUAGAAAAAUGGAUAUUACUGCUGAGCUUUACGAGCUCAUGGUGAAUGAGGAAAUCUUCUGGCUUCAACAGUCUCAUGAGCGGUGGCUGCUCAAGGGAGACCUGUAUACCGACUAUUAUCACAAAAUUGCUAAUGGGAGGAAACGUAAAAAUACAAUCCAAUCACUUAAAAUGGGCGAGACACUGAUUGAAGGCAUGGACAAUUUGAUUGCACAUGCCACUGAGUUCUACAAAGAUCUAUUCGGGCCAGCCCCUGGCAACCAGAUUCAUCUUGAUCCGGAAACUUGGUCUCCUGGGGAGAAAUUAGACGAAAAAGAUAAUGAAGAUCUUUGCCGAGAAUUUACAAAACAAGAGGUCAAAGAGGCCCUGUUUGAUAUGGCCCCUAAUAGAGCCCCUGGACCCAAUAAUAUUCCUGCCGAGUUUUAUCAGGUAUGCUGGGAUAUAGUUAAAGAUGACAUUAUGGCCCUUUUUAAAGCUUUUCAUCAAGGGACGCUGGAUGUCCAGCGGCUUAACUAUGGAGUUAUUACGCUGCUUCCUAAGGUUUCUGGAGCUGAGAAAAUCCAACAGUACAGACCUAUCUGCUUGUUGAGAUGCCCAUAUAAGCUAAUCACCAAAGUCCUUGACCGUAGAGUUGCCAUCUAUGCAAAUAAGCUCACUAGUCCUACUCAGAACGCUUUUGUAAAAGGGAGGAAUAUCAUGGACGGUGUCCUGUCCCUUCAUGAAAUCCUUAACUACACUUAUGUUAAGAAGAAAGUUGGAAUCAUCCUUAAGUUGGACUUUGAGAAAGCCUAUGAUAAGGUGAAUUGGGAUUUUCUCCUUGAAUGCCACAAGAUGCGGGGUUUUGACAAAACUUGGUGUGGAUGGAUCGAACAGAUUCUGCAUAAUGGGACAGUUAGCAUCAAACUAAAUGGUAAUGUUGGGCCAUAUUUUCAAAGCAAAAAAGGGGUG